UUCUGUUUGAUUGGUACUUUGCUGCUCGUAUUCCUAUAUCUCUUCCUCAUCUUGUAAUCUAUGAGAUACAUCCUCAUCUUGUAAUCUAUGAGAUACGUUCAUGAUUCGACUUUCUGCACAGUUUUGAUCUCCGAGUCCUCAGAGCCAUCACUACAAGAAAAUUAGAGUCGUGAUAUAUAAUGUACUUUUAAUAAUAAUAAAAAAACUGAAGGAACAGAUUAGGACACACACUCAAUUGACAACUGAUAUUUAACAAUGACACACAACGUAUUAUAGAAAUUGGAGAACAAUAAGACAUGUUUCCAUAUGAAACUGAUAUACACACACUUGUAAUUUCAACACUA
rnacentral:lncRNA from 1 species